ACGGGCCCGCACAAGUAGCGGAGCGUGUGGUUUAAUUCGAUGCUACACGAAGAACCUUACCAGGGUUUGACAUGCAAGUGGUAGGAAACCGAAAGGUGACCGACCCUUCGGGGAGCUUGCACAGGUGCUGCAUGGCUGUCGUCAGCUCGUGUCGCGAGAUGUUCGGUUAAGUCCUGCAACGAGCGCAACCCCUGUUUCCAGUUGCCAUCAAGUAAAGUUGGGGACUCUGGAGAGACUGCCUGCGCAAGCAGAGAGGAAGGUGGGGAUGACGUCAAGUCAGCACGGCCCUUACGUCCAGGGCUACACACGUGCUACAAUGGCCGGUACAGAGGGCAGCGACCUGGUGACAGGUAGCGAAUCUCCAAAGCCGGUCUCAGUUCGGAUCGGAGUCUGCAACUCGACUCCGUGAAGCUGGAUUCGCUAGUAAUCGGAUAUCAGCAAUGAUCCGGUGAAUACGUUCCCGGGCCUU
rnacentral:rRNA from 1 species